CCUUGUACACACCGCCCGUCACACCAUGGGAGUCGUUUGCUCCAGAAGUGCCUGCGCCAACCCGCAAGGGGGGCAGGGCCCCAAGGAGGUGAACGGUAACUGGGGUG
rnacentral:rRNA from 1 species